UACGGGGGGUGCAAGCGUUGUCCGGAUUUACUGGGCGUAAAGGGCGCGUAGGCGGUUGUAUCAGUCGGGCUUAUAAGUGCGGGGCUCAACCCCGUGAUGGGUUCGGGACGGUAUGACUGGGGCGCGGUCGAGGGAGACGGAAUGCCGGGUGUAGUGGUGAAAUGCGUAGAGAUCGGGAGGAACACCUGUGGCGAAGGCGGCCCCCUGGGCCGCGCCUGACGCUGAGACGCGAAAGCGCGGGGAGCGAACGGG
rnacentral:rRNA from 1 species